CAGGUGGUAAGGGACGUGCUAAAACUUCGUCAAUAGGUUGCACUUAAGAGGGGUUUAUUCGUUACACCCCAAACAAAUGUAGUUUGACUAAAAACUAACCAAUCAAACUCAAUAAAUUUUGUAGAUUCGUACUAAAAACUUUUCCAUUAAAAUAUUCAGUUUCAAAGUUACACAAUUUCAAAUUAAAAACACAUACAAAUCUUUAAACCCGUGUAACUUUAAAAUUAGUUAUUUUUACGAAAAUCUGGCAAUAUUUUUAUCUGGUUUAUUUUUACGAAAGUGUGUAUGUUGGUUUGUUUGUGCUUCCUUCACGCCCUUACUAAGCAACCAAUCGACUUCAUUUUUGGCAUAGAAAUAGUUGAAAAGAUGGAGAGUGCCACAUAGGCUACUAUUUAUCCCGGAAAAUCAAAGAGUUCCCACGGGAUUUCAAAAAACCUAAAUCCACGCGAGCGAAGUCGCGGGCAUCGGCUAGUAGUUAAAAUGAUAGUUCUUUUAAGUUAUAAUGAUAG